rnacentral:sRNA from 1 species
GCUGGGUGUGGUGGCGCACACCUGCAAUCCCUGUGGCUCAGGAGGCUGAGGCAGGAGGAUCACAAGUUCAAAGCCAGCCUCAG